UACCAGCACCCCGAGUGGUCGGGACGUUUAUUGGGCCUAAAGCAUCCGUAGCCGGUUCUACAAGUCCUCCGUUAAAUCCAGCUGCUUAACAGAUGGGCUGCGGAAGAUACUAUGGAGCUAGGAGGCGGGAGAGGCAAGCGGUACUCGAUGGGUAGGGGUAAAAUCCGUUGAUCCAUUGAAGACCACCAGUGGCGAAGGCGGCUUGCCAGAACGCGCUCGACGGUGAGGGAUGAAAGCUGGGGGAGCAAACCGG
rnacentral:rRNA from 1 species